rnacentral:rRNA from 1 species
GAGGAAUGUAUAGCAAUAGCUACUUGUAUCAUUAAUGAUGCAAGCUCGACUAUGUUGAAUAAAAUUCUAGGUAGAAUUAUGAUAAUGACAUUGUCUGCCUAUGUGUCUUGACCAAAUUACGUGCCAGCAGUCGCGGUAAUACGUAGAAGACUAGUGUUAUUCAUGUUUAAUCGGUUUAAAGGGUACCUAGACGGUGAAUCAAGCUUUAAAUAAAUAAGAAAAGGGACUAAUUUACUAGAGUUACUUACGAGGGGGUAUUAAAGUACUGCUGGUGUAGAGAUGAAAUUCUGUCAUACCUCUUUUCGAAAGAAAAAUCAUGGCACAGGUAUAGGCGAAGGCAUCCCCUUAUGUGAUAACUGACGUUGAGGGACGAAGGCUUCGUNUAAUGAACAGGAUUAGAUACCCUAGUAGUUGAAGCAGAAAAUGAUGAAUGUCAUAGAUUAGACGUCUAAGUUUAUUCUAUAAAUGAAAGUGUAAGCAUUCCACCUCAUGAGUAAUUUGGCAACAUUGGAAUUGAAAUCAUUAGACCGUUUCUGAAACCAG